GAUCCUGGCUUAGGACGAACGCUGGCGGCGUGCUUCAUACAUGCAAGCCGAACGAGAAACUGGCUUCGGUCAGUGGAAAGUGGCGGACGGGUGAGUAAUAUGUAGAGAAUCUGCCCUAGAGAGAGGGACAACAGUUGGAAACGACUGCUAAUACCUCAUAUGCGCGUAGCUGAAAUGCUAUUCGUGAAAACUCCGGUGCUCUGGGAUGAGUCUGCAUCUGAUUAGCUUGUUGGCAGUGUAAUGGACCACCAAGGCGACGAUCAGUAGCUGGUUUGAGAGGAUGAUCAGCCACAAUGGGACUGAGACACGGCCCAUACUCCUACGGGAGGCAGCAGUAGGGAAUUUUGCGCAAUGGGGGAAACCCUGACGCAGCAACGCCGCGUGAACGAUUAAGCCCUUCGGGGUGUAAAGUUCUGUCAGUGGGGACGAAACUUGACGGUACCCACAGAGGAAGCAUCGGCUAACUCCGUGCCAGCCGCCGC
rnacentral:rRNA from 1 species